CGCAAACUGGGCAGAGGACAGCCACAGAAGUUUAUGUCUCACGGUUUGGGUCCAGACGUCCAGAAUUGAGGCGUCGGCCUCUCCAGAUAGCAAGAGAUGGUGCUGUCAAGACAGUGUAAGCCCAGGAGCCCAGGUGGCUGGGCUGUGUCUGCACAGCCUUUGGAUAAGGCCUCAGAAAGAUCAUAGCCUCAGCAUUCUGCCCCACCAAGGGUGCCUUAGAGAGGUCAGGGCUGAGCCUCAUGGAUCGAACCAGGGAGCCCCUGAGGAGCCGAAGGGCGUUGACUCCGAGUCACCUCGGCAGGACUCAAAGAUAGAAAAGGCUUGCCUCAAAAACAUCGGCAGGUGAGGCCUUCGGCUCAUGGAGUAGACCCAGGUGAAAUCCAUGAGAGACAAAGAUUUUGAGGAAAUCACUUUCACAGAAACACUGCCAGCCUGGGUGGGAAGGAACAGAGAGAGCACAGGAUGAAAGGAGGCUGCCAGACUCCCCAGAUUUUGCUGGCUGGAAGUAGGCUAAAAAGCUCCUCAGCUGCAAACAUGGGCAACCUUUCCUUCCAAACAAGUGCAGUGUAGAUGCGGGGACCAAGAGCCCAGACAGGGAAUCCAGAAGCCAGGAGAAUUCUCCCCAGCCCUGGAAACCUGACUGAGAACUCCCAACCUUUACUUUUCUGGAUUUGGAAUUGCUACACAGUCAAGAUGCCUUUUAUCUGCCAUUUCCUCCCCUUGAAAACUGAAAUGUCUACAGCUGCAUCUGGUGCCUGCUCCACCACGGGACAGGUCACUAAUCUCUUUAGCUUCCCGGGCCCAUCCAUGGAGAGGAAUUGUGUCCCAGAACCUGAACCGAAUGAUUGCACCAUGACCCUCCACUGACCUUUGACCUGAUUUAGAUGUUGACAUUUCAGGCUUUGAGCUGAUGCCAUGAAGCUCCGAAAAUCUUAGGUACCUAGAGCAGGUGAAUGACUUUUGCACAUGCGAGGGAGGCAGGGGGGCGUGUGGCAGACUCCCAGGUGCCUCCAGGUGUAACUGCCUUUUAUGUAGUCAUCUCCCCUGAGUCACAGAGAAGGACUGGUGACUGACUUCUAACCAACGGCUACAGCAAAGGUGAUGGGAUGUCACUCUGGGGAUGACUCACAUCACACAGGACUGUCUUUUGGGGAGACUCGCUGUCUCCCUCACUGGCUCUGAAGAAGCCAGCAGCUGCCACAGAUCCUACAACUGAAAGGAGCUGAGUGUUACCAAACACAUGCGAGCAGGGGCAUGCACGCUCCCCCAGUCAGACUCCGCAUGAGAACCCACCCUGGACAUAACCUGGCGACCGCCUUGUGAGACCCCAGCAGGAGAGCCGGCAAGUCUGUCGCUGGACUCCCGACUCACGGAUUCGUUGAGAUAAUAGAGAUGGAGUGUCACAAUGUUGCCAAGGCUGGUCUGGAACUCCUGGGCUCAAGUGAUCCUCCCGCCUGGGCCUCCAAAAGUGUUGGGAUUACAGUGGUUCUUGACUUUCACUUACCUCUCAGUGAACUGUGAGCCCUGCAGAAAUAUUGAAGUGUAAAGUCAUGGGUCCUGGGGAGAAGAGAGAAGUGGAGAAGAAUGGAACUUCUUUUAAGGUUGAGGGUCUGGUACUACACAUUCCGGGAAGUCAAUGCAAGCAGUUCUCACUCUGGAAAAUGCGAAAACCUCCCAAGGUUUCAACAUGUUGGUUUAGAACUAAACCAACCAAAAAUGUUGGUUUAGAACUAAAAAUAUUGGCUCAAAACCAAAAAAGUUUGUUUAGAAUUAAAAAUAAUGGCCACUAUAUUGAAUGCAUGUGUUUUUCAGAUUCCAGUUUAAUUAAAAUCAGUGAGACAGAGUGGUUUUAUCAUUGAACCUUAAUCAAAUUAUUCUGACUCAAUGUUCAGCGCACAACACUUGAAAUAUAUCAAUGAAGACACAUUUGAAUUAAUUUUCACUGGGAAAGACAAACUGAUAGAAACAUAAAGGCACAAAAAACUAAACACACACACACACACACACCCCA
rnacentral:lncRNA from 10 species